GAUGAACGCUAGCUACAGGCUUAACACAUGCAAGUCGAGGGGCAGCAUUUCAGUUUGCUUGCAAACUGGAGAUGGCGACCGGCGCACGGGUGAGUAACACGUAUCCAACCUGCCGAUAACUCGGGGAUAGCCUUUCGAAAGAAAGAUUAAUACCCGAUGGUAUAAUCAGACCGCAUGGUCUUGUUAUUAAAGAAUUUCGGUUAUCGAUGGGGAUGCGUUCCAUUAGGCAGUUGGUGAGGUAACGGCUCACCAAACCUUCGAUGGAUAGGGGUUCUGAGAGGAAGGUCCCCCACAUUGGAACUGAGACACGGUCCAAACUCCUACGGGAGGCAGCAGUGAGGAGUAUUGGUCAAUGGGCGCAGGCCUGAACCAGCCAAGUAGCGUGAAGGAUGACUGCCCUAUGGGUUGUAAACUUCUUUUAUAUGGGAAUAAAGUUUUCCACGUGUGGAAUUUUGUAUGUACCAUAUGAAUAAGGAUCGGCUAACUCCGUGCCAGCAGCCGCGGUAAUACGGAGGAUCCGAGCGUUAUCCGGAUUUAUUGGGUUUAAAGGGAGCGUAGGUGGACAGUUAAGUCAGUUGUGAAAGUUUGCGGCUCAACCGUAAAAUUGCAGUUGAUACUGGCUGUCUUGAGUACAGUAGAGGUGGGCGGAAUUCGUGGUGUAGCGGUGAAAUGCUUAGAUAUCACGAAGAACUCCGAUUGCGAAGGCAGCUCACUGGACUGCAACUGACACUGAUGCUCGAAAGUGUGGGUAUCAAACAGGAUUAGAUACCCUGGUAGUCCACACAGUAAACGAUGAAUACUCGCUGUUUGCGAUAUACAGUAAGCGGCCAAGCGAAAGCAUUAAGUAUUCCACCUGGGGAGUACGCCGGCAACGGUGAAACUCAAAGGAAUUGACGGGGGCCCGCACAAGCGGAGGAACAUGUGGUUUAAUUCGAUGAUACGCGAGGAACCUUACCCGGGCUUAAAUUGCAUUUGAAUAUAUUGGAAACAGUAUAGCCGUAAGGCAAAUGUGAAGGUGCUGCAUGGUUGUCGUCAGCUCGUGCCGUGAGGUGUCGGCUUAAGUGCCAUAACGAGCGCAACCCUUAUCUUUAGUUACUAACAGGUCAUGCUGAGGACUCUAGAGAGACUGCCGUCGUAAGAUGUGAGGAAGGUGGGGAUGACGUCAAAUCAGCACGGCCCUUACGUCCGGGGCUACACACGUGUUACAAUGGGGGGUACAGAAGGCAGCUACCUGGUGACAGGAUGCUAAUCCCAAAAGCCUCUCUCAGUUCGGAUCGAAGUCUGCAACCCGACUUCGUGAAGCUGGAUUCGCUAGUAAUCGCGCAUCAGCCAUGGCGCGGUGAAUACGUUCCCGGGCCU
rnacentral:rRNA from 1 species